GACGAACGCUGGCGGCGUGCUUAACACAUGCAAGUCGAACGGAAAGGCCCUGCUUUUGUGGGGUGCUCGAGUGGCGAACGGGUGAGUAGCACGUGAGUAACCUGCCCUUGACUUUGGGAUAACUUCAGGAAACUGGGGCUAAUACCGGAUAGGAGCUCCUGCUGCAGGGUGGGGGUGGGAAAGUUUCGGCGGUUGGGGAUGGACUCGCGGCUUAUCAGCUUGUUGGUGGGGUAGUGGCUUACCAAGGCUUUGACGGGUAGCCGGCCUGAGAGGGUGACCGGCCACAUUGGGACUGAGAUACGGCCCAGACUCCUACGGGAGGCAGCAGUGGGGAAUAUUGCACAAUGGGCGGAAGCCUGAUGCAGCAACGCUGCGUGCGGGAUGACGGCCUUCGGGUUGUAAACCGCUUUCGCCUGUGACGAAGCGUGAGUGACGGUAAUGGGUAAAGAAGCACCGGCUAACUACGUG
rnacentral:rRNA from 1 species